UUAUAACAUUUAGAUAGAGCCUC
rnacentral:piRNA from 1 species